GAUGAACGCUGGCGGCGUGCCUAAUACGUGCAAGUCGAGCGCCUUCACGCGCAUUUCUUUCAAGGACCGAGACAGGUCCUCACCAAAUCUUCGUAGAAGAUUUGUGAGAUACAAAACGAAGGGAUGAAGGUCUGGGAAAGACCGAAAUCCAUUCGAAGUAGACGUGUCUCGUCAAUGAAAUAAAGGAAAUGGUGGCGUGAAGGAGCGGCGGACGGCAGAGUAACGCGUAGGAACGU
rnacentral:rRNA from 1 species